rnacentral:rRNA from 1 species
GAGGAAUAUUGGUCAAUGGACGAGAGUCUGAACCAGCCAAGUAGCGUGAAGGAUGACUGCCCUAUGGGUUGUAAACUUCUUUUAUACGGGAAUAAAGUGAGGCACGUGUGCCUUUUUGUAUGUACCGUAUGAAUAAGGAUCGGCUAACUCCGUGCCAGCAGCCGCGGUAAUACGGAGGAUCCGAGCGUUAUCCGGAUUUAUUGGGUUUAAAGGGAGCGUAGGCGGACGCUUAAGUCAGUUGUGAAAGUUUGCGGCUCAACCGUAAAAUUGCAGUUGAUACUGGGUGUCUUGAGUACAGUAGAGGCAGGCGGAAUUCGUGGUGUAGCGGUGAAAUGCUUAGAUAUCACGAAGAACUCCGAUUGCGAAGGCAGCUUGCUGGACUGUAACUGACGCUGAUGCUCGAAAGUGUGGGUAUCAAACAGGAUUAGAUACCCUGGUAGUCCACACAGUAAACGAUGAAUACUCGCUGUUUGCGAUAUACAGUAAGCGGCCAAGCGAAAGCGUUAAGUAUUCCACCUGGGGAGUACGCCGGCAACGGUGAAACUCAAAGGAAUUGACGGGGGCCCGCACAAGCGGAGGAACAUGUGGUUUAAUUCGAUGAUACGCGAGGAACCUUACCCGGGCUUAAAUUGCAAAUGAAUAUAGUGGAAACAUUAUAGCCGCAAGGCAUUUGUGAAGGUGCUGCAUGGUUGUCGUCAGCUCGUGCCGUGAGGUGUCGGCUUAAGUGCCAUAACGAGCGCAACCCUUAUCUUUAGUUACUAACAGGUUAUGCUGAGGACUCUAGAGAGACUGCCGUCGUAAGAUGUGAGGAAGGUGGGGAUGACGUCAAAUCAGCACGGCCCUUACGUCCGGGGCUACACACGUGUUACAAUGGGGGGUACAGAAGGCAGCUACACAGCGAUGUGAUGCUAAUCCCAAAAGCCUCUCUCAGUUCGGAUUGGAGUCUGCAACCCAACUCCAUGAAGCUGGAUUCGCUAGUAAUCGCGCAUCAGCCACGGCGCGGUGAAUACGUUCCCG